rnacentral:sRNA from 1 species
CCAACACGGCAAGCGACAAGUGAGCGAGGUAGUAUCUUUUUGAUUUGUUGGGCCUACCACUACUACAAAUAAUUGCUAACUAAAAGCAAUGCAGUGGCAGAAUCACUAGGUACACAGCUCUAUCUGGGAAUGUUUUAAUGUUUUGCUUAAGAACCAAAAUAAUGAAAGUCACAUGGAGUACAUAAAACAUAUGGUUUUAGUCAUCGAUGCACACACGCACAAUCGGCUAUUAAUUGACAAUUCAAGGGAUAUCUAUUGCUAAGCUAUCUUGUAAUAUAUUACCAUCGUCGUAUAAGUCGAAUAUGGGGUUGGCUCCAAUAAAGAAAGCGUAAGAAGCGCAAGAUCGAGGAGGCUGCCGAGGGAGAGACCACCGAGGGUGGCGAAGGCGAGCUGUACGACCCAUCAGAGGCCACUGGAGAUGAUGAGGACUUCGAGAUGGUCGAGGCCAACCCCGAAGGCGGAGAGGGUGAAGGUGAUGAGGAGGGUGCCGAGGGCGAGGAUGGCCAAGGCGAGGAGUAGUUGGAUGCCCAGGACGAAGAGGAGGCCAAUGAAGAUCAGGAAGUCCAGCCAGAACGAGAGCCGGCAGCUCCGACCCCAGCACCGGCCACGCCUGCCGCCAAACCAGAGCCUGCCAAGACUCCGGUCAAGGCUGCUGCUGCAUAUGUGCUGCCUUGCCUCUCCCUAGCCACACGAACAUCCUCACGCUUUAGCAAAUUAAAUCCGAUUCCAUUAAAUGUCCCAAAAUAUUUAUCAUUUACCAUAGCCAAAUAUAUAAUAGAUUCUUGUAUGUACAGAAUAAACCAUACUUUCUCGA